AUUGAACGCUGGCGGCAUGCCUUACACAUGCAAGUCGAACGGCAGCACGGGUGCUUGCACCUGGUGGCGAGUGGCGAACGGGUGAGUAAUACAUCGGAACACGUCCUGUAGUGGGGGAUUGCCCGGCGAAAGCCGGAUUAAUACCGCAUACGAACUUCGGACGAAAGCGGGGGACCUUCGGGGUUUCGGCUAUUGGGUUGGCCGAUGGCUGAUUUGCUGGUUGGGGGGGUGAAGGCCUACCAAGGCGACGAUCGGUAGCUGGGCGGAGAGGACGACCGGCGACAUGGGGACUGAAACACGGCCCUGAGUCCUGCGGGAGGGAGCAGUGUGGAAUGUUGGGCAGUGGGCGGAAGCCUGGUCCAGUAGGGCCACGUGUGAGAAGAAGGCCUUGGGGUUGUAAAGCAGUUUUGUCGGGAGAAAAAUCCUUGGCCCUAAGACGGUCGGGGGAUGACGGUACCGGAUGAAGAAGCACCGGCUAACUACGUG
rnacentral:rRNA from 1 species